UGGUGGAGUGAUUUGUCUGGUUAAUUCCGUUAACGAACGAGACCUUAGCCUACUAACUAGUCAAGUCAAUUUCGAUUGAUUAUGACUUCUUAGAGGGACUUUGUGAAUCAAACACAAGGAAGUUUGAGGCAAUAACA
rnacentral:rRNA from 1 species